rnacentral:rRNA from 1 species
ACCGCGGCUGCUGGCACGUAGUUAGCCGGCGCUUCUUCUGCAGGUACCGUCACUUUCGCUUCUUCCCUGCUGAAAGAGGUUUACAACCCGAAGGCCGUCAUCCCUCACGCGGCGUCGCUGCAUCAGGCUUUCGCCCAUUGUGCAAUAUUCCCCACUGCUGCCUCCCGUAGGAGUCUGGGCCGUGUCUCAGUCCCAGUGUGGCCGGUCGCCCUCUCAGGCCGGCUACCCGUCGUCGCCUUGGUAGGCCAUUACCCCACCAACAAGCUGAUAGGCCGCGGGCUCAUCCUUCACCGCCGGAGCUUUCAACCCCGUCCCAUGCGGGACAGAGUGUUAUCCGGUAUUAGACCCCGUUUCCAGGGCUUGUCCCAGAGUGAAGGGCAGAUUGCCCACGUGUUACUCACCCGUUCGCCACUAAUCCACCCCGAAGGCUUCAUCGUUCGACUUGCAUGUGUUAAGCACAUCGA